UACGUAGGGACCAAGCGUUGUUCGGAUUUACUGGGCGUAAAGGGCGCGUAGGCGGCAAUUCAAGUCAUCUGUGAAAUCUCCGGGCUUAACCCGGAACGGUCAGGUGAUACUGUUUUGCUAGAGUGCGGAAGGGGCAAUCGGAAUUCUCGGUGUAGCGGUGAAAUGCGUAGAGAUGCGGAGGAACACCGAUGGCGAAGGGCAGCCCCCUGGGCUAACACUGACGCUCAGGCACGAAAGCGUGGGAGCAAACAGG
rnacentral:rRNA from 1 species